GAUGAACGCUGGCGGCGUGCCUAAUACAUGCAAGUCGAGCGAACGGACGAGAAGCUUGCUUUUCUGAUGUUAGCGGCGGACGGGUGAGUAACACGUGGAUAACCUACCUAUAAGACUGGGAUAACUUCGGGAAACCGGAGCUAAUACCGGAUCAUAUUUUGAACCGCAUGGUUCAAAAGUGAAAGACGGUCUUGCUGUCACUAAUAGAUGGAUCCGCGCUGCAUUAGCUAGUUGGUAAGGUAACGGCUUACCAAGGCAACGAUGCAUAGCCGACCUGAGAGGGUGAUCGGCCACACUGGAACUGAGACACGGUCCAGACUCCUACGGGAGGCAGCAGUAGGGAAUCUUCCGCAAUGGGCGAAAGCCUGACGGAGCAACGCCGCGUGAGUGAUGAAGGUCUUCGGAUCGUAAAACUCUGUUAUUAGGGAAGAACAUAUGUGUAAGUAACUGUGCACAUCUUGACGGUACCUAAUCAGAAAGCCACGGCUAACUACGUG
rnacentral:rRNA from 1 species